rnacentral:lncRNA from 1 species
AACAACUUGCACAAAAACACAAACAUUCAAACAUAUAACAUGAAACAUCGCAAAGACAAACUAAUCCAACUUAGAAAUCUAACAUGAUCACAAAAAAGCUAUCAAUUUUCACAAGAUACUAGGUAACCUCAAUAUUGUAACAAAACAGUUUCAUCUUGUACUACGAUGUUUGAAAUGGAAAAUCAACUGAAAACUGAGCAUGAUAAUCAAAUCAAAGAUAUUGUAAGUAAACGAAGGUUACAUACCCAGCCAUAGAUGAAGUCAAAAGAUUCAAAAACCUAUUUUUUAGGUUUUUGUUUCGUUCUGUCUGUCUUUCUCAGAAACCUGCUAAAUAGUGCAAGUAAGAAAUAAACAAAGCACUUUUGUUUAUUUUUGAAUUAACACAGAAAAGAGAAUAUAAUAAUUUCAUAUUUUGGAAUUGGCGGUGCCUAAUGAUCUAUGGAGACAAGACGAGUCAAUUUU